GUGCCAGCAGCCGCGGUAAUUCCAGCUCCAAUAGCGUAUAUUAAAGUUGUUGCAGUUAAAAAGCUCGUAGUUGAACCUUGGGCCUGGCUGGCCGGCACGCCUCACCGCGUGUACUGGUCCGACAGUUCCUUUCCGUCUGGGGAACCUCAUGCCCUUCACUGUGCGAGAAAAAGGAACCAGGACUUUUACUUUGAAAAAAUUAGAGUGUUCAAAGCAGGCCUUUGCUCGAAUACAUUAGCAUGGAAUAAUAGAAUAGGACGUGUGGUUCUAUUUUGUUGGUUUCUACGACCGCCGUAAUGAUUAAUAGGGAUAGUCGGGGGCAUCAGUAUUCAAUCGUCAGAGGUGAAAUUCUUGGAUUGAUUGAAGACUAACUACUGCGAAAGCAUUUGCCAAGUAUGUUUUCAUUAAUCAGUGAACGAAAGUUAGGGGAUCGAAGACGAUCAGAUACCGUCGUAGUCUUAACCAUAAACUAUGCCGACUAGGGAUCGGACGGUGUUAGUAUUUCGACCCGCUCCGGCACCUUACGAGAAAUCAUAGUUUUUGCGUUCUGGGGGGAGUAUGCUCGCAAGGCUGAAACUUAAAGAAAUUGACGGAACGGCACCACCAGGCGUGGAGCCUGCUGUCUUUAUUUUGACUCAACACGGGCAAACUCACCAGGUCCAGACACAAUAAGGGAUUGACAGACUGCUCAGCUCUUUCUUGAUGUUGUGGGUGGCGCCGCAUGCCCGUUCGUAGGUGGUGGAGUGAUUUGUCUGCUUAACGCCGU
rnacentral:rRNA from 1 species